UACGUAGGGGGCGAGCGUUGUCCGGAAUCAUUGGGCGUAAAGCGCGUGUAGGCGGCCAGGUAGGUCCGCUGUGAAAACCCGAGGCUCAACCUCGGGACGUCGGCGGAAACCAUCUGGCUAGAGUCCGGAAGAGGAGAGUGGAAUUCCCGGUGUAGCGGUGAAAUGCGCAGAUAUCGGGAAGAACACCCGUGGCGAAGGCGGCUCUCUGGGACGGUACUGACGCUGAGACGCGAAAGCGUGGGGAGCGAACAGG
rnacentral:rRNA from 1 species